GACAGAGGUGCCGAGCGUUUAGGCGGAAUCACUGGGCUUAAAGCGUGUGUAGGCGGGCGGGCAAGUACCUUGUGGAAAUCCCACGGCUCAACCGUGGAACUGCUGGGUAUACUGCCUGUCUUGAGCCAGCAGGGCAGUCGGAACAGACGGUGGAGCGGUGAAUGCGUAGAUAUCGUCUGGAACGCCAAAGGUGAAAACAGACUGCUGGGGCUGUGCUGACGUGGAGACACGAAAGCCAGGGAGCGAACGGG
rnacentral:rRNA from 1 species